rnacentral:rRNA from 1 species
CCUACGGGGGGCUGCAGUGGGGAAUAUUGGACAAUGGGGGGAACCCUGAUCCAGCCAUGCCGCGUGUGUGAAGAAGGCCCUCGGGUUGUAAAGCACUUUCAGUGAGGAAGAACGCCUGGUGGUUAAUACCCAUCAGGAAAGACAUCACUCACAGAAGAAGCACCGGCUAACUCCGUGCCAGCAGCCGCGGUAAUACGGAGGGUGCGAGCGUUAAUCGGAAUUACUGGGCGUAAAGCGCGCGUAGGUGGCUUGAUAAGCCGGUUGUGAAAGCCCCGGGCUCAACCUGGGAACGGCAUCCGGAACUGUCAAGCUAGAGUGCAGGAGAGGAAGGUAGAAUUACCGGUGUAGCGGUGAAAUGCGUAGAGAUCGGGAGGAAUACCAGUGGCGAAGGCGGCCUUCUGGACUGACACUGACACUGAGGUGCGAAAGCGUGGGUAGCAAACAGGAUUAGAUACCCCAGUAGUC